rnacentral:rRNA from 1 species
ACAGCAGUAGCCGCGGUAAUACGAGGGGAGCUAGCGUUGUUUGGGAUACUGGGCGUAAAGCGCGCGUAGGCGGCUUUUUAAGUCAGAGGUGAAAGCCCGGGGCUCAACCCCGGAAUUGCCUUUGAAACUGGAAAGCUAGAAUCUUGGAGAGGUCAGUGGAAUUCCGAGUGUAGAGGUGAAAUUCGUAGAUAUUCGGAAGAACACCAGUGGCGAAGGCGACUGACUGGACAAGUAUUGACGCUGAGGCGCGAAAGCGUGGGGAGCAAACCGGAUUAGAUACCCGCGUAGUCCCUGUCUCUUAUACA